rnacentral:rRNA from 1 species
CUUCAUGCGCUGCUAUACAUGCAGUCGAGCGGACCGACGGGAGCUUGCUCCCUUAGGUCAGCGGCGGACGGGUGAGUAACACGUGGGUAACCUGCCUGUAAGACUGGGAUAACUCCGGGAAACCGGGGCUAAUACCGGAUGCUUGAUUGAACCGCAUGGUUCAAUCAUGAAAGGCGGCUUCGGCUGCCGUUUACAGAUGGACCCGCGGCGCAUUAGCUAGUUGGUGAGGUAACGGCUCACCAAGGCGACGAUGCGUAGCCGACCUGAGAGGGUGAUCGGCCACACUGGGACUGAGACACGGCCCAGACUCCUACGGGAGGCAGCAGUAGGGAAUCUUCCGCAAUGGACGAAAGUCUGACGGAGCAACGCCGCGUGAGUGAUGAAGGUUUUCGGAUCGUAAAGCUCUGUUGUUAGGGAAGAACAAGUACCGUUCGAAUAGGGCGGUACCUUGACGGUACCUAACCAGAAAGCCACGGCUAACUACGUGCCAGCAGCCGCGGUAAUACGUAGGUGGCAAGCGUUGUCCGGAAUUAUUGGGCGUAAAGCGCGCGCAGGCGGUUUCUUAAGUCUGAUGUGAAAGCCCCCGGCUCAACCGGGGAGGGUCAUUGGAAACUGGGGAACUUGAGUGCAGAAGAGGAGAGUGGAAUUCCACGUGUAGCGGUGAAAUGCGUAGAGAUGUGGAGGAACACCAGUGGCGAAGGCGACUCUCUGGUCUGU